rnacentral:rRNA from 1 species
AGAUUGAACGCUGGCGGCAUGCUUUACACAUGCAAGUCGAACGGCAGCACGGGGGCAACCCUGGUGGCGAGUGGCGAACGGGUGAGUAAUGCAUCGGAACGUAUCCUUGAGUGGGGGUAACGGCAGCGAAGUUAGUGCUAAUACCGCAUAAGCUCUGAGGAGGAAAGACGGGGGACCGGAAAGGACCUCCGCGCUGAAGGAGCGGCCGAUGUCCGAUUAGCUAGUUGGUGAGGUAAAGGCUUACCAAGGCGACGAUCGGUAGCUGGUCUGAGAGGAUGAUCAGCCACACUGGGACUGAGACACGGCCCAGACUCCUACGGGAGGGCAGC